UAAUACGGGGGGGGCAAGCGUUGUUCGGAAUUACUGGGCGUAAAGGGCUCGUAGGCGGCCAACUAAGUCAGACGUGAAAUCCCUCGGCUCAACCGGGGAACUGCGUCUGAUACUGGAUGGCUUGAGUUCGGGAGAGGGAUGCGGAAUUCCAGGUGUAGCGGUGAAAUGCGUAGAUAUCUGGAGGAACACCGGUGGCGAAGGCGGCAUCCUGGACCGACACUGACGCUGAGGAGCGAAAGCCAGGGGAGCAAACGGG
rnacentral:rRNA from 1 species